rnacentral:rRNA from 1 species
AUUGAACGCUGGCGGCAGGCCUAACACAUGCAAGUCGAGCGAGUGGCGGACGGGUGAGUAAUGUCUGGGAAACUGCCCGAUGGAGGGGGAUAACUACUGGAAACGGUGGCUAAUACCGCAUACUAUCGGAUGUACCCAUAUGGGAUUAGCUAGUAGGUGGGGUAAAGGCUCACCUAGGCGACGAUCCCUAGCUGGUCUGAGAGGAUGACCAGCCACACUGGAACUGAGACACGGUCCAGACUCCUACGGGAGGCAGCAGUGGGGAAUAUUGCACAAUGGGCGCAAGCCUGAUGCAGCCAUGCCGCGUGUAUGAAGAAGGCCUUAGGGUUGUAAAGUACUUUCAGCGGGGAGGCGUUACCCGCAGAAGAAGCACCGGCUAACUCCGUGCCAGCCGCCGCGGUAAUUC